ACCUGGGUAGCUUAGUCGGUUAAGCAUUAGACUUUGGCUCAGGUCACGAUCUCACGGUUCAUGAGUUCAAGCCCCAUACCAGGUG
rnacentral:tRNA from 1 species